rnacentral:lncRNA from 1 species
CAAGCAAUUCUCCUGCCUUGGCCUCCCAAAGUACUGGGUUUACAGGUGUGAGCCACUGUGCCCAGCUCUCAUACCUCGUCUUGAUGCAGUAGAAGUAGUGGUUAAGCCUGGAAUCAGAUCUUGGUUUUCCCUCUCUGAGCCUCAGUUUCCUCAUCUGUAGAGUAGACUUCCUUCACGGGUGGUUGUGAGGAUUUAAUGUAUGUAUAGGGAUAAGGCCCAGAACGUAAGUAAACUCUAAGUACAUGGUAAGUGGCAGUCACUGCUUACAAGUGGAGCCAGGGUUCAGGGUCAGAGCUAGAGACCUACAGGGAAGAGUAGGUGAGCUGUCGGGGCUAGUGAUGGAGAGAGAGAAGAGACUGGAGAUCCAGCUUGGGGAUCCCCUUGCUUCCUGGCCCAGGAGCCACCAUGGAGAGUGAGAAGCUGCCAGAGAAGCAGGAGGAGGAUGGAGAGAAUGUGCUACCAUGGAAACUGGAGGAGGAGGGCGUUCCCAGGAGGAGGGAGUGAUGGAUAAUGUCAAGUGUCAUAAGAGAGGAUGCGAGUAGGGAGGGCAGGAGGGUGAUGGGAGCUCUCCAAUUUAGUUUUUUACAUGGCCCAGGCAGCCCCCAAGCCUGGAUCAAAUCCCAGCUCUCAAGCUAACUGGCUGUGUGACCUAGACAAGGGAUUUGCCUUCUCUGAGCUUCAGUUUCCUUCUAGAGUUGAGAUGUGGGAAUUGGUCCAUCUCUAAUACGAUCAUCAGCCUCACUUAAUAAGAGUCCUAGCUUUGCCGAAUUCUUGGCCACGUGCUAGCAGUGUGAUCUUAGGCAAGUCACUUCACCUCCACGAGAGCACUCUCUGAAAGCUAGAGAUAUGGUAAGCAAAGUGCCACCAAAGUGCCUGGCACAUAGUGGGGCCUCGAUACAGGCUUAUUCUCUGAUAAUUACACGUGUGCCAGAGGCAGCUGCUCUAAGGAGGCUUGCUGGGCUUGGAAUUAGAAAUGCUCCUCAAGGUGCUAGGAUUACAGGCAUGAGCCACCGUGCCCAGCCCAACCCAUGGUUCUUAAUGCUGCAGGUGGGUCCGGAGAAAGGCUUUUCUCUUUUAACCAUCUCCUUGAAUUUCAGAAGGUGGGACAACAUGUGCUGGAAAGCAGUUCUUAAGAGGACAUCUUUUCCCAAGCUCCUUAGCCUUAGCUGUCCUCUCCUGCCCUCACCAGGACUGCCCUCUCAGGGACCCAAGAGGAAGGGACAGCCUGGAAAGGAAGAAGGUCCCGGGCCAUCUGCGUCAUGGGGAUGGAGUCCCUUGGCGUGUGCCGGUGCAAAUACACUCCUGUAACGGGGCUCAUCUAGAAUCUCCUCUCGGAAUGAGGAGACCGCAAAUGUGGUUUUGAAUCUUCAUUGUCCACUUCAUUGCUGUGGUGUUGGGCAGGUCUCUGUCCCUCUCUGGGCCUCUGCACGAUGGAGGGGUAGGAGUUGAUGGUUCUGAAGGCUCUGCCAUCCUGGAAAAGAACUGAGACACUUCCCUCAUGUUCCUGGGUCCCAGAAACAGACAUCUGUUGGUAAAAUCUACUGGGCAUUUGCCCAGAGACAGGGAAAAGAAUGCCUGGGGGUCUGUAAUAGGAGCUGCCCCAAUUAGGGGCAGGGAGGCGGGCAUGUAAAAAAGGAAGCUUAAAGCUUUGUUUUCAGGCUUUUUGCCUACCCCAGGCUCCAUCUUGGUACCAAGUACUCAACCUUCUGUUUUCUCAAUAAAGUGAGCCCUCUUCUCGGUGUCUGCA